rnacentral:rRNA from 1 species
UACGAAGGGGGCUAGCGUUGUUCGGAUUUACUGGGCGUAAAGCGCACGUAGGCGGAUCGUUAAGUCGGGGGUGAAAGCCCAGAGCUCAACUCUGGAACUGCCUUCGAAACUAGAGGACUUGGGUACGGGAGAGGUGAGUGGAAUUCCGAGUGUAGAGGUGAAAUUCGUAGAUAUUCGCAAGAACACCAGUGGCGAAGGCGGCUUACUGGUCCGGUUCUGACGCUGAGGCGCGAAAAGCGUGGGGAGCAAACAGG